rnacentral:rRNA from 1 species
AGCGAACGCUGGCGGCAGGCCUAACACAUGCAAGUCGAGCGCCCAGCAAUGGGAGCGGCAGACGGGAUAGUAACACGCGGGAACGUGCCCUUUGGUUCGGAAUAACUCAGGGAAACUUGAGCUAAUACCGGAUAAGCCCUUCGGGGGAAAGAUUUAUUGCCAUUGGAGCGGCCCGCGUCGGAUUAGCUAGUUGGUGAGGUAAUGGCUCACCAAGGCGACGAUCCGUAGCUGGUCUGAGAGGAUGACCAGCAUCACUGGGACUGAGACACGGCCCAGACUCCUACGGGAGGCAGCAGUGGGGAAUAUUGGACAAUGGGCGCAAGCCUGAUCCAGCCAUGCCGCGUGGAUGAUGAAGGCCCUAGGGUUGUAAAGUCCUUUUAACGGGGAAGAUAAUGACGGUACCCGUAGAAUAAGCCCCGGCUAACUUCGUGCCAGCCGCCGCAGUAA